CCCUUAGAUGUCCUGGGCCGCACGCGCGCUACACUGAUGCAUUCAACGAGUUUUACCUUGGCCGAGAGGCCUGGGCAAUCUUUUAAACCUGCAUCGUGAUAGGGAUAGAUUAUUGCAAUUAUUAAUCUUGAACGAGGAAUUCCUAGUAAACGCAGAUCAUCAAUCUGCAUUGAUUACGUCCCUGCCCUUUGUACACACCGCCCGUCGCACCUACCGAUUGAAUGGUCCGGUGAAGCCUCGGGAUUGUGGCCAGUUCACUUUAUUGGGAGUUGGCUGCGAGAACUUGUCUAAACCUUAUCAUUUAGAGGAAGGUGAGGUCGUAACA
rnacentral:rRNA from 1 species